rnacentral:misc_RNA from 1 species
GAGCAGGUCCUACAGUAGAUCCAGGUCAAGGAGCAGGAGCAACAGUAAAAGUCCUAGUAGGAGUCGAUCACGAAGCAAGUCGGCCUCCAGAUCUCCAGAACGAACUGACGAUGUGCAGCGAGAAGAAGAUUGAACCAGUGCACUACUCGAAAUCAUUACUCGCCUUGACUGAAACUAAAAGCAGUUUCUCUCUUGACAUACUCCCGUUUAUAAAAGGUUAAUACGUGCCACAAAUGUUUGCACUUUUAUUUGAAUUAUCAAAUCGGGUGGCAUAAUGGUAAAAAUUGUGUGGAAACAUUCAGUAAUGAUAUAUUUUUAUUAUUGAUCAUUGACAAUUUUAACUAUCAUAUGACUUCAUGAUGUUUUGUAAAUAAAUAUGUUAUAGAUGGUUUUUAACACAGAAUAUUCUGAAGUAAUGUAAAGGUUUUAA